GAUAAACGCUGGCGGCGCACAUAAGACAUGCAAGUCGAACGAACUUAACCUAUUCUUAACGAUUAGGAGCGGUUAGUGGCGGACUGGUGAGUAAUGUAUAAGUAACCUGCCUAUCAGAGGGGAACAACAGUUGGAAACGACUGCUAAUACCGCAUAUGCCAUAAGAAUCACAUGGUUCUAGUGGGAAAGGAGCAAUCCGCUGAUAGAUGGACUUAUAUCUGAUUAGCUAGUUGGUGUGGUAGCGGCCUACCAAGGCGAUGAUCCAUAGCCGGCCUGAGAGGGUGAACGGCCACAUUGGGACUGAGACACGGCCCAG
rnacentral:rRNA from 1 species